GGAUAUUAUAACAGAACAUGGUCAAAAUGUUAAAAUGUUAAAAUGUUCAUAAAUGACCAGCAUGGUCAAAUAAUAAUAAUCAUAGUAGUUGUCGAGGGUGCAACAAGCACGUCCGGUGAACAGGUCAGGGUUCCAUAGCCGCAGGCAGAACAGUUGAAACUGGAGCAGCAGCACGGCCAGGUGGACUGGGGACAGCAAGGAGUCAUCAUGCCAGGUAGUCCUGAGGCAUGGUCCUAGGGCUCAGGUCCUCCGAAAGAAAGAAAGAAAGAAAGAAAGAAAGAAAGAAAGAAAGAAAGAAAGAAAGAAAGAGAGAAUUAGAGAGAGCAUACUUAAAUUCACACAGGACACUGCAUAAGACAGGAGAAAUACUCCAGAUAUAACAGACUGACCCUAGCCCCCCGC
rnacentral:lncRNA from 1 species